UAUUGCACAAUGGGGGAAACCCUGAUGCAGCGACGCCGCGUGAGUGAAGAAGUAUUUCGGGAUGUAAAGAUCUAUCAGCAGGGAAGAAAAUGACGGUACAUGAUUAAGAAGCACCGGCUAAAUACGUGACAGCAGCAGCGGUAAUACGUAUGGUGCAAGCGUUAUCCGGAUUUACUGGGUGUAAAUGGAGCGCAGGCGGCACGGCAAGCCUGAUGUGAAAGCCCGCGGCCCAACCGCGGGACUGCAUUGGGAACUACCGGGCUGGAGUGCCGGAGAGGUAGGCGGAAUUCCUAGUGUAGCGGUGAAAUGCGUAGAUAUUAGGAGGAACACCAGUGGCGAAGGCGGCCUACUGGACGGUGACUGACGCUGAGGCUCGAAAGCGUGGGGAGCAAACAGG
rnacentral:rRNA from 1 species